rnacentral:lncRNA from 1 species
UCGAGAUUUGAGAAUUUUCUUAUAUAUAAGUGAUUUGUGCAGCCUGAGUUAUUAUAUUCUUUGAAAAUUUUCUCUUUUUUUUUAACUGUAGUCGAUUUUCGUGUAGACAUGAAGGUAAAAGGCGACAAGAAUCUUUAAAAUAAAAAGGUUAAGUUUACAUAGGAGUUAACCAUUGGUAUAGUAAUAUUAAUGAAAAUUUAUUGAUUUUUUUAUAAAGAAGUGUAGGUAGAAGAUGAUAGGCAGUUCUGAAAUCAAGUAUUAUCUCUUCUGGUAAUUCUUUUUUCUUGGUUUAAUGAGAAAAUAAAGAU